UGAACCCAGUACUCUUGGGUCUUGCAACAGAACCCAGUGAUCUUGGGUCCUAUAUUAGGAUCUAAUUUUCUUGGGUCCUUUGUCAAGACCAAGGCUAUUGGGUCUU
rfam:Populus trichocarpa scaffold_1_contig_224, whole genome shotgun sequence.